AGCAGCCGCGGUAAUUCCAGCUCCAAUAGCGUAUAUUAAAGUUGUUGCAGUUAAAAAGCUCGUAGUUGAAUUUCGGGGUCAGUAGGUCAGUCGUGCCACUGGUAUGAACUGGUUUUACUGAUUCCUCCCUCUUGAAGAACUGUAAUGCCAUUAAUUUGGUGUUGCAGGGAAUCAGGACUGUUACUUUGAAAAAAUUAGAGUGUUUAAAGCAGGCUUUAGCUUGAAUACAUUAGCAUGGAAUAAUGAAAUAGGACGUUUGAUCCUAUUUUGUUGGUUUCUAGGAUUGACGUAAUGAUUAAUAGGGAUAGUUGGGGGCAUUAGUAUUCAAUUGUCAGAGGUGAAAUUCUUGAAUUUAUUGAAGACUAACUACUGCGAAAGCAUUUGCCAAGGAUGUUUUCAUUAAUCAGGAACGAAAGUUAGGGGAUCGAAGACGAUCAGAUACCGUCGUAGUCUUAACCAUAAACUAUGCCGACUAGGGAUCGGAUGAUGUUAAUUUUUUAAUGACUCA
rnacentral:rRNA from 1 species